UACGUAGGGUGCGAGCGUUAAUCGGAAUCACUGGGCGUAAAGGGUGCGUAGGCGGGGCUUUAAGUCCGGGGUGAAAUCCUGGAGCUCAACUCCAGAACUGCCUUUGAUACUGAAGAUCUUGAGUUCGGGAGAGGUGAGUGGAACUGCGAGUGUAGAGGUGAAAUUCGUAGAUAUUCGCAAGAACACCAGUGGCGAAGGCGUCUCACUGGCCCGAUACUGACGCUGAGGCACGAAAUCGUGGGGAGCAAACAGG
rnacentral:rRNA from 1 species